rnacentral:lncRNA from 1 species
CAUCACUAGAUCCCCAAUAUAUGGCGAACCAUCAUCUAGGGGCGUCACUAGAUCCUUAGAAUUACCAGCAGAAUUAUUGGCAUCAACACCCAGGGACGUCAUUGGAUCCUUAGAACUACUAGCAGAUUUAUUGGGAUCAAGAUCAGUUUGAAACUGACUCACCAUAUUUGUGGCAACGCUGAUCACGUGGUCAUUAAUGAUGCGCUUUACAUUACUUGCUAUCUCCCAUUGAGCCAGAUCCACG